rnacentral:rRNA from 1 species
AAUUAUUCACCCUUGUCUUUUGCGUACUUCUUGUUUCCUUGGUGGGUUCGCCCACCACUAGGACAAACAUAAACCUUUUGUAAUUGCAAUCAGCGUCAGUAACAAAUUAAUAAUUACAACUUUCAACAACGGAUCUCUUGGUUCUGGCAUCGAUGAAGAACGCAGCGAAAUGCGAUAAGUAGUGUGAAUUGCAGAAUUCAGUGAAUCAUCGAAUCUUUGAACGCACAUUGCGCCCUUUGGUAUUCCAAAGGGCAUGCCUGUUCGAGCGUCAUUUGUACCCUCAAGCUUUGCUUGGUGUUGGGCGUCUUGUCUCUAGCUUUGCUGGAGACUCGCCUUAAAGUAAUUGGCAGCCGGCCUACUGGUUUCGGAGCGCAGCACAAGUCGCACUCUCUAUCAGCAAAGGUCUAGCAUCCAUUAAGCCUUUUUUUCAACUUUUGACCUCGGAUCAGGUAGGGAUACCCGCUGAACUUAAGCAUAUCAAUAAGCGGAGGAAAAGAAACCAACAGGGAUUGCCCUAGUAACGGCGAGUGAAGCGGCAACAGCUCAAAUUUGAAAUCUGGCUCUUUUAGAGUCCGAGUUGUAAUUUGCAGAGGGCGCUUUGGCUUUGGCAGCGGUCCAAGUUCCUUGGAACAGGACGUCACAGAGGGUGAGAAUCCCGUACGUGGUCGCUGGCUAUUGCCGUGUAAAGCCCCUUCGACGAGUCGAGUUGUUUGGGAAUGCAGCUCUAAAUGGGAGGUACAUUUCUUCUAAAGCUAAAUAUUGGCCAGAGACCGAUAGCGCACAAGUAGAGUGAUCGAAAGAUGAAAAGCACUUUGGAAAGAGAGUCAAACAGCACGUGAAAUUGUUGAAAGGGAAGCGCUUGCAGCCAGACUUGCUUACAGUUGCUCAUCCGGGUUUCUACCCGGUGCACUCUUCUGUAGGCAGGCCAGCAUCAGUUUGGGCGGUAGGAUAAAGGUCUCUGUCACGUAC